rnacentral:rRNA from 1 species
AUUGAACGCUGACGGAAGGCCUAACACAUGCCAGUCGAGCGGAGCGGAGGAAGGGUGAGUAAUGACUAGGAAUGUGACUGGUCGUGGGGGAUAACGUCCGGAAAAGGGCGCUAAUACCGCAUACGAACAGAUGAGCCUAGGCCGGAUUAGGUAGUUGGUGGGGUAAAGGCCUACCAAGGCGACGAUCCGUAACUGGUCUGAGAGGAUGAUCAGUCACACUGGAACUGAGACACGGUCCAGACUCCUACGGGAGGCAGCAGUGGGGAAUAUUGGACAAUGGGCGAAAGCCUGAUCCAGCCAUGCCGCGUGUGUGAAGAAGGUCUUCGGAUUGUAAAGCACUUUAAGUUGGGAGGCGUUACCAACAGAAUAAGCACCGGCUAACUCCGUGCCAGCAGCCGCGGUAAUAC